rnacentral:lncRNA from 1 species
AUGCAGGCAAUUCUUGUGAAAACGAGAUUAGAUGCAAUAAAAACCUUGUCUUGGCAAAUCAGUGUGUUGGAGGAUGCUGUCAGAAAUAACUUUGCAAAGACAUGUCCAUUACCAAAGUGGGGCAUUAUCCUAAAUUUACUCUCAGUGAAGAUUGAUGGCUGCUAUAAGCCACCAUCUGUCUCUGCAUCCUAUGGCAUUACUGGGCUGUCACGCUGUGCACUGGGUGCGGUUGGUGGCUUCUGGUUUUCUUUCCACUUGUCCUUUUCCCAUCUGAGGAUGGACAAGCAAUUGUCAGAACAAAAGGAUAAAGUAAGACUGACCUCGCAGCGUGCAAGUAUCAAGCCCGGACUUUUUUUUUUUUUUUCAUUAGGGAAUAUGAAGAAUGCCUCAAAUCCAUUUUUUGCAUGUGAUUACCUCACAGUGGAUUAGCCUAGUGGAUUAUCAGCUAUUCUGUGGCCAGAAAGCAUAUUGCAGCACAUCUGGCCAGUUACACAAAUUUUCCAAACUAAACAAUGCAGUGACAUUUUAGGUAAGUGAAUAAGGAUUUUCUUGCUUUGAGUGUCUUUUCUUUUAGGUGUAGAUGUCCUGCUUAUCUACUGAGCAGAACAGUAUUCUCCAACUUUUACAUUUCCUCUCCAUUAUCAGUACUGUUGGGCUACUCAUUUCCAAUAAGUCUUUAUGAAUCGUUUAUAAAUUAUACACACAUAAGCUACCACAUAUAUAAUAUUCAUUACAAAAUACAUACACCUACAUAAACCUAAAAUGAUGCGAUACAAACACAUGCAUUUAUUUAUGUAGUUCUGGUAUUUUUAUCCACCUACUUGAUCCCAUUUUCAUCUCCCAGAUCUGCCAUCCAGACUGCCAGGUUAGGCCCACAGCAGGCAGAGCAUGCUGGGAGUUCAGUUUCGAGGGGCAGACAUUGGGCACAGCAGUUAAGAUACUACUCGGGACAUCCGCACCUCAUAUUGCUCUGCCUGGGUUCAAGUCUCGGCUGCACUUCUGAUCUGAGCUUCCUGCUAAUGCGCACAUCAGGACGGCAGCCGUUAGAAGUCAAGUGCCUGGGUCUGUGAGAGAUCUAGUCCAGCCUCCUGGCUCCUGGCUUCUGCCAGGCAGAGCCUUGGCUAUGGCAGCCAUUUUAGUAGUGGUCUCUCUGCCAGUUUCUCUGUCUCUCAGAUAAAUAAAAUAAACACAUACUGUUUUUAUGUUGAGUUU